ACGAACGCUGGCGGCAGGCCUAACACAUGCAAGUCGAGCGCGGACUUCGGUCCUAGCGGCGGACGGGUGAGUAACGCGUGGGAACGUGCCCUUUGCUUCGGAAUAGCCCUGGGAAACUGGGAGUAAUACCGGAUGAGCCCUUUGGGGGAAAGAUUUAUCGGCGAAGGAUCGGCCCGCGUUGGAUUAGGUAGUUGGUGGGGUAAUGGCCUACCAAGCCGACGAUCCAUAGCUGGUUUGAGAGGAUGAUCAGCCACACUGGGACUGAGACACGGCCCAGACUCCUACGGGAGGCAGCAGUGGGGAAUCUUAGACAAUGGGGGAAACCCUGAUCUAGCCAUGCCGCGUGAGCGAUGAAGGCCUUAGGGUUGUAAAGCUCUUUCAGCUGGGAAGAUAAUGACGGUACCAGCAGAAGAAGCCCCGGCUAACUCCGUG
rnacentral:rRNA from 1 species